GACGUAGGGCGCGAGCGUUGUCCGGAUUUAUUGGGCGUAAAGAGCUCGUAGGCGGCUUGUUGCGUCGUCCGUGAAAACCUGUGGCUUAACUACAGGCUUGCGGUCGAUACGGGCGGGCUGGAGUUCGGUAGGGGAGACUGGAAUUCCUGGUGUAGCGGUGAAAUGCGCAGAUAUCAGGAGGAACACCGGUGGCGAAGGCGGGUCUCUGGGCCGAUACUGACGCUGAGGAGCGAAAGCGUGGGGAGCGAACAGG
rnacentral:rRNA from 1 species